UGAGAGAAUUUCAGUUUUCGUUUCUGGUUAGAAAAGGAUAAUAGUAAUCAUGGAAGCCCUCUUCUUUUCUAUUUUUUUUAGUCAAAAGUUCGUGUUUGGCUGAUGAGUAAACAUGGUAGAAAAUGAGAAAUUUUCAGGAAAACUAAUACGAAGAAGAUACAUAGAACUGUGAACUCUAAAUUUAAUUCUUAGUAGUAUUAGAAAGGCCAUUGACGAAGUCAUUUGAAGCAGUAGAAAAGUUAUCGAAUUGGAUCAAAGAUGGUAUUGGUAGACUAGUCUCUUAUCUCUUCUCAUGUUUUCUCGGUUGACCAUACAGAGUUUCAUGCUUCGAAUAAUUCAGGCCAUUUAGAAAGACCAUUGAGUAAGCCUUUUGUGUUGGUUGCAGAAAGUUUGGUUGGACAAAACAACAGGUGGAGUUUGCUUGUCUGUUGCUUCAAAAGGAUUAUCCAUCACCAGAAUUGAUGAUCGAAGAUAUUGGAAGUAUAUUCCGACAGAAGAAUCCAGGUAAAAUUCGAGUUUAUAUUUUCUUUCUUUUGUUUGUUUAUUAUGUUAUUUUUUUCUCUCUUAUUGUCUUACUGAGAUUUCAUUGAAACGGGAAUGUUUGUAUCAGUACUAUCAUAGUAUAUUAUCGAUAGAUGAGGAAAGUUCGAGUUUUACGGGGAUUUUCUUGCUCGAAAUUUCUGAAGUAUGUUUUUUUUGUAACCCUUUUUGUAAAAUCUCUAUUCUGUGGUUUUGAUUUCUAAAUGAAUGACUUUGUUCUUUGGAAUUUUGUGUUUUUUGCAUUUUUUUUUGUAAAUCUCUUCAACUCUCUUUAUUUUUAUGCUGUCUUAUGUAUUCUAAUGUGAAAACCAAAGCUACAGAAUUUUUUUAAAAAAAGAGAUAUUUUUGGUUUCUCUUUCUGUCCAAAAAGAAAAUCACUUACUAGAAAUUUUAAGGGUGGUUGGUUUUAUAGUCUAAAAACUGUUUUCUGUUUUUUAAAACUGAAAACAGUUUUAAAAACUAUUAGAAGUUGUUUGACAUAAAUUUUUAAAAACUUGUUUUUAAAAAUUAGAAAACAAAAAACAUCAAAAUGUUGUUUUUAAUUUUCAAAAACACUCUUUUUUGUCUAACAUAUUAUAUUUUAUAAUUUGCUCACAUACUCGGAUACUAGACCCGAAACCAUACUCGAAUCUAGACCUCGAUGGGUUAAUGUCAUGAUAUGGUGCUAAAUUAUUGAUUUUUUUUUUCGUAAAAAAAAAUCUAAAAACAGUUUUUAAAAAUUUGUACCAAACACCAUUAAAUUUUUAAAAUGACAAGAAACUGUUUUCUAUUCUCACUUAUAAAAACACAAUUUUAAAAACUGAAAACACAACCAAACAAGUUCUUGUGCCGCCGAGUCUGCAAUACUGAUGAGCACAUUCGUGGUUGGGACCUAAAGCCAAUACGAUUUCAGCUAUGAACUUCAGACGGUAAGAGCACUAUAUCUCAGUUCUUAACUGAGCUGGGGAGUUUGUAGUAGACAAUGCCCAUGUUUCCACGAAGAUUAAAUUCUCCAUGACUCAGAUCAGAUUGAUUGUACUCACACAAAAGGUGGGCUUUGUUUAGACUCCCUAAUGAUACUUCCAACAGCUUGUGUUUUAGAUAGAGAUAGUCAAUGUCAAUAUAAAGAAGAGCCAUACUACAGUAGCCUAAGUGUGCAUGUAGAUUUGUAAGUGUAUAUAUUGUUUAUUCAAUUUAUUUUACAGUGUUCUACAUUUUCAAGGUUGUUUGCCUCCUUGUACGGAUAUAUAUUUUUGGUGGAAAUAAAAUGAUUUGAUGUUUGAGUUGAA